UUUCGUGGCCGAACCUCCGCGUCAGAUCUCAGAAGUUAAACAGGGCUGGGUCUGGUUAGUACUCGGAUGGGAGACCGCUGGGGAAAUGAAGUGUUGUGUCCU
rnacentral:rRNA from 1 species